rnacentral:lncRNA from 1 species
GCAGCGGUCCAAGAAGUUCCCAAAACUUUUUAUAAAAGUUUAUACUUAUUCCGUCCAUUCCAGGACUUUUGUUUAUCUUUAGAUUAUUGACUGCAAUGGUUAAUUCUUCUAACGUUACGUUUCCGUCACAAGACUUACUUUCUUCUUCUGACAGUUUAUAAUUAUGUUUUGUUUCAGAAAUGUAUUUUUUAACAUCUAUAUCCGGUUUUUGUUUAGUGUCGUAUAGAUUAGCAUAAAAAUUUCUUUCAAGAUUUAAUAUUUCAUCUUGAUCUGUUACUAUUACCCCCUUAUUGUUUCUCAGUUUAAGUAUUGUCUUUUUCGUUUGUUUAGAUUUUUCAAGACCUAGAAAAUAUGCAUUAUUUUUUUCUCCUUUUUCUACCCACUCUUGUUUUGAUCUUAUUUGAGCUCCUUUUGCUUUGUAUUCAUAUUGAUUUUCUAGCUCUUUCUCUAAAGUGGAUAUUUUUUCUUUUAUAAAAUCAUUAUCUUCAUUAUUAGAUUUUUCAUAUAAUAUUUUUAAUUGUAGUUCUAAAUUACGCGUUACAUUUUUUCUCAGUUUAGCUUUACUUUUACUGUACUGAAUACUGUAUUCCUUUAUUUCUAAUUUGAGGGAGUCCCACAGAAGUCUAGGAUCUAUUUCAUUUUUUCCUAUCUCAUUACUAUGUUUUUGUAUAAUUUUAUUUAUUUUGUCUUCGUAUUCUUGUUCGUUGAGAAUACCGUUGUUAAUUUUCCAAUACCCGGGGCCUCUUGUUUCAGAUGAUACAGAUUGUAAUUGUAUUGAUACUGCUUGGUGGUCAGUACUUUUAAUAAGAAUAGGCCUAAUAUCACAUGACUUUACGUUUAACACGAAAUCUUUUUUAACUAGGAACAUGUCAAUUCUACUAGACUGAACUGGAUUUUUACGUCUCCAUGUAUAUUGGAUCUUUUGAGGGUUAACGUGUCUCCAUAUAUCUAUAAGAUCAUUUGAUUUUAUUAGAUUUUUUAGGCUAUUGACUGGUUUACUUGCUUUUUUACGAAUAUUUGAACUUUUCCUAUCUACAUUUUUAAGGGCGUCGUUCAUAUCUCCUCCUAAAAUUAUUGUACCUAUUGCGUUUUUGUUUAAAAAGUCAUUUAAUUUUUUGUAGAAGCUAUUUCUUUCAGAUUCUAUAUUUGGGGCAUAUAUGUUUAUAAGAGAAUAUAUUAUAUUUUCAAAUUCAAUAUUUAUCAUAAUUAUUCGACCUUCUAAAUCUUUAUGCUCGUCUAUUAAUUUAUAGUCUAGUUUGUUAUUAAUUAAUAUUGCUACUCCUCUGCUGGAAGUCGUUCCGUGACUAUAAUAACAAGAAUGAUCUGAUUCUAUAGUUAGAGCGUUUUCUAGGGAUGUAUUGAAAUGAGUUUCUUGAAUAAAAGAUAUUUUACAUUUCUGAUUUUUUAUCCAUUGAUAAAGUCUCAAUCUCUUUUGUUUAUCUCGAAGUCCUUUAACAUUUGCUGUACAAAUGUGUAGGUUAUUUAGCAUAUUUUGAUUAAAAG